CCUCUUGAGCUCUUGUGGUGACCUGGGAAUCAAUGUGUGAGGUGGUGCUAUGUAGCAGGAACCCCUCUUGCUUUGCAAAUAGUUUUUUGUUUGUUUUCCUUUUUGCCCAAUAGAGCCCUGCUCUACUGACCCUUCAAUGUGCCCGUGUGCCUAAAUAUUCCUGGUCGUGUGAAAAGAACCCAGGUAUUAGCUGAACUAAGGAGCACAAUUCUGCAACAUUUUGGCACCCAAACACGGGGCUUGAGAAAUGAAUGCAAUUGGAGAAACUGGUUGUUUUACCAGGCGUUGAUUGGAAAUGUGUGCUUCCCUUUAAGCAGUCAAGCUCAACUUGCAGAACUGAUGGGAACCCCUUGGGAAAACUGGCCUCAAAUGUUUGUCUACACAGUCCACAUACAGGGUUCUUAACCUGCGGAAACACUUUCUGAAAAUGUCAGAACUCUUGAAAACAUGGAUGAGGAAAAGCAUAAGUACUGCUUUAUGCUUUUCUUAUGAAUUUUAAAAGAUGUAAUUUAAAGAUGGAGUCUUGUUCUGUGGUCCAGGCUAGAGGGCAGUGGCAUGAUCUCGGCUCACUACAAGCUCUGCCUCCCGGGUUCACGCCAUUCUCCUGCCUCAGCCUCCUGAGUAGCUGGGACUACAGGCGCCCGCCACCACGCCUGGCUAAUUUUUUGUAUAUUUACUAGAGAUGGCUAGUGUUAGCCAAGAUGGUCUCGAUCUCCUGACCUCGUGAUCUGCCCACCUCAGCCUGCCAAAGUGCUGGGAUUACUGGCGUGAGCCACCGUGCCUGGCCAGCAUCCUCUAAUUAUUAUUCAUAGUUUGUGAAUUUAGGCCUACGUGAAUAAUAAUAUAAUAUUUACUAUGAUGUUACUAUCUACCAACCUUAUUUUUCUUUUCUAUAAAAUAGGAGCCAAAAUAAUAUUUAUGUCAUACCUUAUGAAGUUAAAAUAAAAUAUAACGAAUGAGGGGCUUAACAA
rnacentral:lncRNA from 1 species